rnacentral:rRNA from 1 species
GAUGAACGCUGGCGGCGUGCCUAAUACAUGCAAGUCGAGCGGACAGGCGAGGAGCUUGCUCCACUGACGUUAACGGCGGACGGGUGAGUAACACGUGGAGAACCUACCUAUAGGACUGGGAUAACUUCGGGAGACCGGAGCUGAUACCGGAUAAUAUAUUGAACCGCGUGGUUCAAUAAUGAAAGACGGUUUGGAUGUCACUUAUGGAUAGAUCCGCGCCGCAUUAGCUAGUUGGUAAGGUAACGGCUUACCAAGGCGACGAUGCGUAGCCGACCUGAGAGGGGGAUCGGCCACACUGGAACUGAGACACGGUCCAGACUCCUACGGGAGGCAGCAGUAGGGAACCUUCCGCAAUGGGCGAAAGCCUGACGGAGCAACGCCGCGUGAGUGAUGAAGGUCUUCGGAUCGUAAAACUCUGUUAUUAGGGAAGAACAACUGUGUAAGUAACUAUGCACGUCUUGACGGUACCUAAUCAGAAAGCCACGGCUAACUACGUG